rnacentral:rRNA from 1 species
GUUGGUGGAGUGAUUUGUCUGGUUAAUUCCGUUAACGAACGAGACCUCAGCCUGCUAAAUAGUUGGGCGAAUACAAUGUCGUAUAUGUGGAUUGCUUUUGUUGUCCUUGAGUUUUCUUAGGGAUAUUUGAGUAGUUCUGAUAUGAUAAUUCGUGAUCAACUUCUUAGAGGGACUUUUGGUUUUUAGCCAAAGGAAGUUUGAGGCAAUAACAGG